AUGUCGUCCCUCGACUAUUUGGAUUUGUGCAGAUUGUGUCUAAUGAAAGAUCGUGUGUCCGUACCGAUAUUCGAGGGUGAGGGUGAUGUCAGGCAGAUUUUUUUAAAGAUUGCGGCCUGCUUGCCGGUCAAGGUUGCACGGGAAGACAAGUUACCUAAAAAGAUAUGCGACGAUUGCGUUUACAAAGUAGAAUUACUUUACCAAUUUUGGAAUACAACGGCAAACGCCGAGAAGCAGCUACUCCAAUGGCUUGGCGAAGUUGGCUUGGAGGACAAGCAAGGCUAUGUCACUGGCGUCCUAAAUCCGAGUACAAUGAAACAAGAAGAAAACAGUUCCAGCGGAUUGGGAGGCACAGCAAUACAGGUGACUGGAGUUCAACCUGGCAUUGGUAUAGGAGUUAUAGACAACAUGGGACUAGGCAUGCCGCUAAUUAUUCCCAGCUCAACACAGCAGCAAUUAACUGCUGUGCCAAUGGAUACAAGCACUGGACCCAUCCAACCUAUCCAACCUAUCCAACAGGCUGUACCUGGUCCAAGUAGUCAACCUGGACAUGAACAGAUUGCCGAGUCCCAAACUAAUGCAACAACGCAUCAACAGGACGAGGAAGAGGAAACUAGCGAUGAUGAAGAAAACUCUGACGAUGAUUGCGAUGGUGAUGAUGGUCUACCUGUCAAGGAAGAAAGCGAGGAAGAUCCUAGUAAUAGUAGAACGAUUGAACCUACGACGUUUGUAAAUGUAUCCCUGGCUUGCGACGAAGCGGGUCCGUCCGGCUUGCAGCAGCAAAAAAUCGUGGAAAUGCCAGAAAUGGCUAUGCCCCAGACAACCGACGGUGAUCCCAAGUCUGGGUUUCAUUUUUUCGCGGGAUUUGGAAGAAAUGGAAAUGGCGAUUCAUUCCUUCGAGCUGCAAGGCGAGUACGAUCUUCGGGACCUUUUAGAUGCGCGAUCUGCAACUGUGGAUUUAAAUCAGGUCCGUCGUUGAAGCAACACGUGUCCAAGGUGCAUGGUGCUGCCUUACCACAGAAAUUUAAAUGCCAUCAUUGUACCUUUGAGACGGACUGGAGAGGAAACCUGCGCAAUCAUAUGCGCCUUCAUGCUAACUAUAUUCCUAGUGGUAAAAACAAGAAACCAUGUGGAUUGUGCGAUCAGUCUUUUUCAAACACCAAAAAUUUACUCAAUCACAGAAACGCACACAAACCAACAUACUUUUCUCAAGAUUCAUCUGAACCUCCAAUGUAUGAAUGUGAUUUUUGUGGGCUGAAACUUGAAAAAAAAGGACACUUCUCACGGCACAGAAGAUUACAUGUCAACCGAGUUCGUAUGGCAUGUCAAGUUUGUCACAAAUGGUUCCGGUAUAGAGACAAGCUGGAUCUCCAUGUUAAAGCGAUGCACCUUAAAGACCGUCCAUUCUCCUGCUUGAUUUGUGAAAAAUCUUACAAGACCAAAUCGAUAUUGCACAAACACACCAAGAUACAUGGCCAACGAGUAGUUUGCUAUAUAUGCGGUUGUGUGGAGGAAUCUAAACUUUCUCUGAAACAACAUCUCAGUAGGCACGACAAGGAGUACAACAUGUUUUGCAUGACUUGUAACAAGGGGUUUUAUGCAAUACAGGCAUUGAAUAACCACAUGAGGCAGGAACAUGAUGGAGACAAACCAUUCAAGUGUCACAUUUGUGGAGAGACAUUCUUAAGUCGGACUUAUCUGAAAUUACAUAAAAAGUCGCACGAACAACCUGUGAAAUAUAAAUGCUCGUUGUGCAACUUUGAAAGUACAUGGAAAAAGUCUUUGAGAACGCAUACGAAAAUUCAUUCCGGUGAGAACCUGAUGACAUGUGAGGUGUGCGGAAAGUGUCUCUCAACCAAAGCCUCCUUUGAAACUCACAUGAGAAUUCACACGGGGGAAAAACCACACGUUUGUGAAGUUUGUGGAAAAGCAUUCAGUGCGAGGAAGUAUUUACACAUACACAAUCGCACCCACACUGGAGAGAAACCUUACGCAUGUGAAAAAUGCCCAAAACGUUUUACUCAGAAGGGCUCCAUGAAGUUACACAUGAAGUCCCAACACGUUUCCACUUAAUUCUUCAAAGCUGCGAUCUUGUACCGUAGUUCUUACGUGAUUCACGAGAUUCACUAAUGCCAACACGUCAAGAAAAUACAAAGAGAAUAGCCCCAAGGAGUAUGCAGCUACACAACUAGUGCAGUGUGAAAUAAUUGAUGGAUCAAAGGCUCCUACUGAUCCUUCAAUACUUAAGAAAGAAUCCUGCAGCUUGGAUAAAACCAU
rnacentral:misc_RNA from 1 species